AUAAAUUAAUAAAAUUUUAUAGUCCCAACAUUAUUAAUUUAUAGAGUUU
rnacentral:sRNA from 1 species